AUGGAGUUUAUUCUCAGUUGGGUUUUCCUUGUGGCUGUUUUAAAAGGGGUCCAUUGUGAUGUGCAGCUGGUGGAGUCUGGGGGAGGCUUGGUCCAGCCUGGGGGAUCCCUAAAACUCACCUGUGUAGGCUCUGGAUUCACAUUCAGUAGUUAUCACAUGGACUGGAUCCGCCAGGCUCCAGAGAAGGGGCUUGAGUGGGUCUCAUACAUUAGCUAUGAUGCUGGAUACACAAACUAUGCAGACUCCAUGAAGGGCCGAUCCACCAUCUCCAGAGACAAUGUCAAGAACCUGAUGAAUCUGCUAAUUAAUAGCUUGAAAGCUGAGGACACAGGCAUAUACUACUGUGUGAGACACACAGUAAGGAGAUGUCAGACUCCUAGAUUUGAGAGUCUAAGUGAUUCACAUAUGAAGCUUUGGGCGGUCACUGAAGUUCUGCCUGUCCACAUGUGUGGUAUCCCAGGUGCAGCUGCUGGAGACAUGGCCUGGACUGGUGAACACUUUGGAGACCUUCUCACCCCUGUGACUUGUCUCUGGUUGCAAUAUCAGCAGGGUUACCGGUGGAAUUGGAUCCACCAGCUCCAAGGGAAAUGA